GAUUUGGGAGAUUUCCUAUACUAACAUCACAUGACCUAAUGGUAAUAAAAAUGCAGGCAUGUGGUAUAGAGGCUCAAUGCAUUGAGUGGAAAAUCAGGACACUAGUAAAGACAAUAGUCCCUGUAGGGUCACUCUCUGGCAGUGUUGGGUGUAAUGCGUUACAAAAGUAACGGAGUUACAGUAAUGUAUUACUUUUUGCUUUAACGAAGUAAUGUAACGCAUUACUAAUUACAUUUGAGUAAUAUACUACCCGUUACAAUUCUCAGUAGCGCAGUUACAACUCAUUUUAACCCGAAAUGAAAUGGUGUUUUGUUUUUUUAGAAUUCACUAACAUCGUUAACAUAAAAAAUUGUGCCGGUAGAUUAGUAAACCUGGUGUUUAAUUUAUUACUUACAAUAUGUAAUGUAUUACAUUUUGGAAGUAACUUGCCCAACACUGCUCUCUGGACUAUUUGAGGACGCCAUCUUUCUACUACAGCCAGUUUGCACACUGGACAGCAAGCUGUUAGCAUAGAAGCUCCGAAGCCUGAAUACCUCUCACGCUCCAGGGGCCCACUUUGAGACAUUUAAAAUGCCACAAAACAUUACUUCGAAAGACAACCAUGCAAAUUCUGAACUCGGUCUUGAAGAAUGGCCGUGUUCCAAGGCUGGAAUAGACAGCGCUUUGGGCCUCGCUACUUCGCAGUGGAAUCCAGGACCUUUGGGCAGAGCCAUCUCCAGUGGGUCACGGUUAGACAUCCAGGCUUCACAGAUUGAACGCGCAGAGCUGGUCCCAAAGACUGAGAUUAAACUGUAUCACCGUCGCUGGAUCAUGCUUUUUCUCUUCAGUGGCGUCUCAGCCAGCAAUGCCUUCAUGUGGCUUCAGUACGGCAUUAUAAGCAACAUUUUCAUGCGUUUCUACAACAUUGACUCUUUUGCCAUUGACUGGUUGGGCAUGAUCUACCUGCUCACUUACAUUCCUCUCAUUCUGCCCGUCCUGUGGCUCCUGAAAAACAGGGGAAUCCGGGAUGUCAUCCUGAUUGGGUCAGCUUUUAACUGCAUUGGUGCUUGGAUAAAAAUUGGUAGUGCCAGUCCCAAUAUGUUCCUACUCACAUUUCUAGGCCAGUUUAUGUGCUCGGUAGGCACUGUGUUCAUCAUUGGUAUUCCCUCUUACCUCGCCUCAGUGUGGUUCGGAGAGAAAGAGGUUUCCAUUGCUUGUUCCAUAGGAGUCGUGGGAUACCAGCUGGGUAUUGCCAUCGGGUUCCUUGUGCCUCCCAUCCUGGUGCCGAAUGUGGACGACAUGGACGAGCUGGCUCACCACAUCAGCAUUAUGUUCUACAUCACAGCAGCAGUGGCCACCUUACUCUUCAUCCUCGUGGUCUGUGUCUUCCAGGAGGGACCUACACUUCCUCCGACUCAGGCCCAGGCCACAGCUCGCAGCAUUCCCCCUGAGCAGUACUCGUACACAGCCUCGGUCCUCAGGCUGCUCCGCAACCGGCCCUUCAUCCUCCUCAUCAUCACUUAUGGUUUGAAUGUGGGAUGUUUCUAUGCUGUCGGCACCCUGCUGAACCGCAUUAUCAUCGAGCAUUACCCUGGAGAAGAGGUGAAUGCUGGGAGAAUUGGCCUCACCAUUAUCAUUGCAGGGAUGGUUGGCUCCCUGAUUUGUGGCAUUUGGUUGGACAAAACCAAAACCUACAAACAGACAACCCUUGCUGUGUACUUCAUGUCUCUGGUGGGGAUGAUCGUCUUUGCUGCCACACUCAGUCUGGGACACCUCUGGGUGGUCUUCAUCACUGCUGGAGCGCUCGGGUUCUUCAUGACAGGCUACCUGCCGCUGGGCUUUGAGUUUGCGGUCGAGCUGACGUACCCAGAGUCUGAAGGAACCUCAUCCGGACUGCUCAACUGUUCAGCACAGGUGUUCGGCAUUAUCUUCACCAUCAGCCAGGGGAAGAUCAUCGACAGAUUCGGCACUCUGGCAGGAAACAUCUUCCUCUGUGUUUUUCUUCUAAUCGGCACAGUAAUGACGGGCCUAAUCAAGUCUGAUCUGCGGAGACAAAAGGCAAACAUGUUGGCCAAAGCAGCAGCGGCGAAGCAGAUGUCAGGACAAGACUACGGAACCACAACGCUAAUCUCCAAUCCACAGACCCCCCCUUCACAAGCCUGAUCAAUGUACCUUUCUGCUUCCACAAAAAUAUCUUCUCAAAUCUUAGCUCAACAUGCAGAUGCACUAAGGGACCUUCCGACUAUCCCAAUGGGAGCGUGGCUGCAUCGCCUAUCAUCGAAGAAGCCAAGCUUUAGAGGCCACGCACACACACACACACACACCAACACGUUCUCACUCCCAUCCCGUCACAUAUUGACGGACGGUCAGGGCCCCUUCCCGUCGCUAUAUUACGUAUAGGGUACCCCUUGCCCGUCAGGCUUCUAUGGGCAGGACGUCCCAUAGACCUUCAUUGCGGACAGCGGACCCCUUGACUGUCAGGCUUCUACGGGCAGGGCGUCCCAUAGACCUUCAUAGACCACGUGAUCAACAACAAUGGCCGACCUUCGUGUUAUUCUCGGUGGAAAAUGCCUAUUUUAAGGUUCAUUUGGCCAAUAAAAUGCGUUUUGAUGUCAUUUUAUGCGAUUAAUAUGAGUUGUUAUUUCUGAUUAUUUGUGCAGUACAUGU